CACACACACACACACACACACACACACACAUUGUUUCCUGGCGUGAAUAAUUGCGUCUACACAAUUGUGUAGAAAGAUAUUGGUGCAAAAACAUGCCUGCUCAGCACCCCUCCUCUAGGUGAAUAUAGAACCACACACAGGCGCACAGCCUCCUAUUAUGUUCUGGAAAAGCAGUUGCAGUCUCCGAUUGUGUGUUCUAAACCAAAGCCUGUCUGCUGAAGUCAACGGGCCUUUGCUCGCAGCACUGCUUUGUUUGCAUGGGGUCAAAGAAGCUGAUUGAUCGCUGGUUGAGUGGAUUAGCCAUCUCUUUCAAAAAAAAAAAAAAAACAGAUCACGGAGACAAACAGGCAGAGAUGAGGAGGCAGGGAGAGACCAAUCAGAUGCACAGCGUCGGCUGAUGGAUGCCUGUCGCCUUCUGAUCGGCUUUUAAGGAACCGGACAAACGAACAGACCUACUUUCGGUGAGGACAGCUAUGGAGAAGCGCAGUGCAAUAGAGACGUUCAGGGGAAAGAAGGGGGAUGUUUGCUUAGUCUGUGGUGUAAAACGGGAGCAGAAGCGAGGCAUCUGAAAACAAACAGCAUUCAGUAUGUGUCAAUACUACAUCGAUCCUCAGAGGUCUGCACGACUUUAGGAAGCACUACUAAGAUACACUUAGUAGUAGUAAAGUGUGGAUAAACCAUUAAUGGUGAUUUUUCUGUCAAACUCCACUAAUGUCAACAUGUACAUGGUGAAAUACAAGUUUCGCUCUCGUGGACAGUUUAGUUUUUUUUUUUUUGUUUUUUUUUUGCCUAACUGUCUAUUUCAUCAUCA